CUCGAGGCCAGAUCUAGAGUUUGAUCCUGGCUGAGCGCGAACGCUGGCGGCGUGCCUAACACAUGCAAGUCGUGCGCAGGGUCGGCCCCUCUGGGGCCGGCCGCUGAGCGGCAAACGGGUGAGUAACACGUGGGUAACCUACCCCCAGGAGGGGGAUAACCCCGGGAAACCGGGGCUAAUACCCCAUAAUGCCACCCGCCACUAAGGCGCGGUGGCCAAAGGGGGCCUCUGGGGCUCUGCCCCACGCUCCCGCCUGGGGAUGGGCCCGCGGCCCAUCAGGUAGUUGGUGGGGUAACGGCCCACCAAGCCUAUGACGGGUAGCCGGCCUGAGAGGGUGGCCGGCCACAGCGGGACUGAGACACGGCCCGCACCCCUACGGGGGGCAGCAGUGGGGAAUCGUGGGCAAUGGGCGAAAGCCUGACCCCGCGACGCCGCGUGGGGGAUGAAGCCCUGCGGGGUGUAAACCCCUGGCGGGGGGGACGAUGCGGACUCGGGUUAAUAGCCCGUGUCCGUGACGGUACCCCCAGAGGAAGGGACGGCUAACUACGUGCCAGCAGCCGCGGUAAU
rnacentral:rRNA from 1 species